CAGAGACUGCAAGCGUUAUUCGGAUUCACUGGGCGUAAAGGGUGCGCAGGCGGCCAAGUGUGUGAGGCGUGAAAGCCUGGAGCUUAACUCCAGAAUUGCACCUCAAACUACUUGGCUAGAGCAUUGGAGAGGGUAGCAGAAUUCAUGGUGUAGCAGUGAAAUGCGUAGAUAUCAUGAGGAAUACCAGAGGCGAAGGCGGCUACCUGGACAAUUGCUGACGCUCAGGCACGAAAGCGUGGGGAGCAAAAGGGAUUAGAUACCCCUGUAGUCCGCGCCCUAAACGGUGCACACUAGGUCUUGGCGGAUUCGACCCCCCAGGGCCCAAGCUAACGCGUUAAGUGUGCCGCCUGAGGACUACGGCCGCAAGGCUA
rnacentral:rRNA from 1 species